CCUACGGGUGGCAGCAGUGAGGAAUAUUGGUCAAUGGACGAGAGUCUGAACCAGCCAAGUAGCGUGAAGGAUGACUGCCCUAUGGGUUGUAAACUUCUUUUAUAAAGGAAUAAAACGAGGCACGUGUGCCUUUUUGCAUGUACUUUAUGAAUAAGGAUCGGCUAACUCCGUGCCAGCAGCCGCGGUAAUACGGAGGAUCCGAGCGUUAUCCGGAUUUAUUGGGUUUAAAGGGAGCGUAGAUGGGUUGUUAAGUCAGUUGUGAAAGUUUGCGGCUCAACCGUAAAAUUGCAAUUGAUACUGGCAGUCGUGAGGACAGUUGAGGUAGGCGGAAUUCGUGGUGUAGCGGUGAAAUGCUUAGAUAUCACGAAGAACCCCGAUUGCGAAGGCAGCUUACUAAACUGUGACUGACAUUGAUGCUCGAAAGUGUGGGUAUCAAACAGGAUUAGAUACCCCUGUAGUC
rnacentral:rRNA from 1 species